AACGCGAAGAACCUUACCUGGGCUCGAACGGCUUCGGAAAGCCGGUGGAAACACUGGUUCUCCCGCAAGGGACCGGAGUCGAGGUGCUGCAUGGCUGUCGUCAGCUCGUGUCGUGAGAUGUUGGGUUAAGUCCCGCAACGAGCGCAACCCUCGCCCUUAGUUGCCAUCAUUUAGUUGGGCACUCUAAGGGGACUGCCGGUGAUAAGCCGCGAGGAAGGUGGGGAUGACGUCAAGUCCUCAUGGCCCUUACGGGCUGGGCUACACACGUGCUACAAUGGCGGUGACAGUGGGACGCAAUGGAGCAAUCCUGCGCAAAUCUCAAAAAGCCGUCUCAGUUCGGAUUGUGCUCUGCAACUCGAGCACAUGAAGUUGGAAUCGCUAGUAAUCGCAGAUCAGCACGCUGCGGUGAAUACGUUCCCGGGCCUUGUACACACCGGUACUA
rnacentral:rRNA from 1 species